CCAGGUACGGGAUCCGCUGCAACGCGGUGCUGCCCGGCUUCAUCGCCACCCCCAUGACGGCCAAGGUGCCCCCCAAGGUGCUGCAGAAGUUCGCAGGGUUUGGUGCCACUCGGCCGCCUCGGGGACCCGGAGGAGGUGGCCGACGUCUGCGCCUUCCUGGCCUCCGAGCGCAGCCGCUACAUCACGGGGGCCAGCGUGGAGGUGACAGGUGGG